AACCGGCCCGCCCGUCCCCUCCUUCUGGAUUCCCGUUCCUGCUAUUGAUUUAGUGGGAACGUCACAGGGGGUCAGUCGUGUAAAAAGCGGCUGGUCUCUGGGGCCCAGAUCGUUUACCGUGAAAAAAUUAGAGUGUUCAAAGCGGGCAGAUAUUUUUCCUGCCACCGAAUACAUUAGCAUGGGAUAAUGGAAUAGGACCCUGACCUCCUAUUUUCAGUUGGUUUUGUUUACAGCGAGGUUAUAUCAGGGUAAUGAUUAAUAGGGAUAGUUGGGGGCAUUAAUAUUUAAUUGUCAGAGGUGAAAUUCUUGGAUUUAUGAAAGAUUAACUUCUGCGAAAGCGUUUGCCAAGGAUGUUUUCAUUAAUAAGAACGAAAGUUAGGGGAUCGAAGACGAUCAGAUACCGUCGUAGUCUUAACCAUAAACGAUGCCGACCAGCGAUUAGGAGACGUUGAAUACAAAACACCGCCGUUAAUCC
rnacentral:rRNA from 2 species